AGAGCGCGCGAACUGUGCGACGUGCGAGGGAGAGUAGCGCGCGUGAGGUCUUCAGCGUCCAAUCCCUGUGCGCCUCAGGGCCUCAGGGGGUACUACACCCAUUCGUCACCACCACACCAAACCCCACAGCGGCUCCUCCGCAGUCGCCCGCAACCCUUUCCCUCGAACCCCGCAGCUGUCGUCCUCCUCCAUCCUCUCGCGCCUCCUCCCACUCCCAUCCAGCCCCUUCCCCGCUCAUCCCUGAAAGGAUCCGAGACGUGCGGGCACGGAGGCGAAGGGCGAUGGCGGCGGCGCUUGAUUUGAGGCAGCGUCAUGGAUCGGCCCCUGCUGAGCGACAAGAUUGCUGGACUGCCACCAUCUCACCUCGCCCCACCAGCUUCCAGCGCCAUGGAUCCGCUGGAGAUGGAGGGCAACAAGUGAGAGGGAGUAGGAGAAGAGGUGAAUCGAGGGAGUGAAAGAAGAACCUGACACGGGAAGGGGAAGAGGGAGUCUUGCGGCGUAUCCUCUUUUGACGCCAUGGAGCCAGCUGCUCUUGCUCGACGGCACGAUACACAACACUGAGAGCAGAGGAAAGUAUGCCCUCUUCAUCUAGGCAGAGGAGCGGGACGGCCAGGAGCUGUCGUCCUGCUACCCUAUGCCAAUGGACGCGCCUCCCAGAUGGCUAGCAACGCCAGAUCCAGCUGGAAAGGACUCUAUGGCAGAUUGAGAAGCUUAUCCAAGCGAAGCAAUGACGUAAGCUGCUAGGAUAACUUCUGCAUGGUACUUCCUGUAAGAAAAGCUUCAUAAUUCGAUCAAGUAUACUGAUGAACAAUGCAUAUAAUGUUCAUAGAUUAUGACUUUACACAUGUAAUGCUGAUUUGAAAAUUUCCCUUGAUUUGUUCCUCAAAUGUUCUGAGAGAGUGUUGCGUAUUAGGAAACCCAUUGGAUAGUUAAGGUGUUGUUUCAGCUGACUAAUAUAAAGUUAUAUUUCCAGCAGAAGAUAUUUGGGAUUGACGUUCUGGUGAGAAAGUAGCAUAUAGAUGGAUGGACAUGAGCUAUCCAGUGUAGGUUCAAACAAUUCAUUCAUUCAUUGCAGGUUCAGCAUGUCUCAUUAUGUCUUUUUGCUUCAUAUUCAGGGUCGAACUGGGCUAUAUUUCUUUCAUUGAGGCGAGGGUGAUUCCAGUAGGUGAGGUGCAUUUUAGACAUCCGGAUGUCUUGCUAUGUUCAGGCGUACUCGCCUUUUUUUCUUGAAGUUAGGCGUUCGCUGUCUCUGUGGCAAGUGCUUUGUUUAGGAUCUGGGGAGUCGGAUUGUGGAUUACAUGUAGUGGGGAAGAAGAGAUGGGGACGAGGAAGAGGACACCCUUGGUGGCGUGCUAUAUCUCACUAGGCGACAAUGUUGAGAGGGUGCCUGGCAUCAAGAACCCGACAUGCUUUUCCGAGAGUUCGUUCAGGUGCAUAGUAUCUUAGUUAGGUAUCUCUGUGCAAGUGUAGUUUGCCUGCAGACUGCAUAGUAUCUUAGCUAGGUCUCUCCGGCAUGCUACCACAAAAGAGGAGCCAUGAUGUUAUGCCUAUAUCUGCAUCGUCUAUCAGUCCUAGAAGUUCUGAUCUUCAUCUACCGUUAAACCGAGUUCAUCUGUCUGGCGGAGCUGCUGUCCACGCUUUUAUCAGAGCUAAUGUUCACGGGAUCAUCCAUGCGAAUGCAAGCUCCCCUCAUGCUCAGCCGUGGUGGAAGCCUAAAACAACAUAGAUUAUCAAUCAACACAGACUAAUCAAGUCACAUUACUGUGACGAUUUGUAAAUUUGCCAGAGGUUUUGAAUGGGACUUUACACCACCAAAUUAGAAUGUGUACAAGACACCAUUUUUUCGACUAAAGGAGAUUAUGUUUAUUAUCAUAUGUACUUGC